GAAAAAAUAUAUAUAGAGAGAGAAAGAGAGCCGAGAGUGCAUAGAGAGGGCGAGAUUGAGAAGGCACAGAGAGAGCGGAGAGUUGCGGAGGAGGCCGGGAGCUUAAGACUUUGAUGAUCUAGUGAGAAAAAUUCAUUUUCAGGGUCACGGAAAAGAAGUGGCAGAUGACAUUCCACCACAGGCCUAGUAUGGGUUAGAAGAUCAUUUUAUUGUUUUUGCAUCUAAGCCUCACCAUUUUUUUUGUAAAACUUAGCAUAUUAUAUUCUGUACUGAGAUUUUUGGACUCUUGUUAUUAUAAUUAUAUUCAUAGGCUGUAACUUUAAUAUAAGUUGUCUAAACGUUGUAAGACAUGGACUUUUGAUUUUAGCCAUAUUUUUGGGACUGAAUUAUGAUAUUUGGAUUAAA